GUCACUAUAAAUACACUGUCCAAUCAUUAGAGAGAGGUGGCUGCACUGUUCACACACUGACACACCAAUUAUCUGCAGCCGCACAAUCACAAUCAAAAAACCCUAAUUCUCUCCCUUUUCCCUAACUUUCGAAUCAAACAGCAAAGUUGCAACAAAAAUGAAAAACACAGAUGAACGAAAUCCAGUCUCGUAAAUAAUUUCCAAACUCAUACAUCAAACCGAAUCUAUUCCAUCUCAGAAAUCACCCAUCAUUUUCGGUUUUGAUUUCAACAACCACAAAUUCACCAGAAAUUCAUAAACUCACAAAACCAACUCGAAUCUGUCCAACACCAAAAUUGCACCGCUUUCGAGCAAGAACAGAACCGAAUCACAAUAGAAGAAGAAAGAAGAAGCUGAAACCGAGUCAAAUUCGUGAAGAACAAAAAUAGAUCGGACCGGAUCGAGAUCGUACCGCAAGAAGAAAUCGAACUCGAAUCCACAAGCAAACGAAGCUGAGACGCAUCGAACAGAGGGAAGGUGGUAAGAUCUGUGAUCCUGAGUAGUUGGUGGUGGCUCAUUGUCGUGUUUAGGGCUCUGAUACGUGGGAUGGGAAUAUUUAUAUUAUUUUAUUGUUGCUUUCCUCCUAUGUAUCAAAUUCUGGAACUUGAUGAUGUGGCCCUUUGUUGGUUGACUUUUGUUGUUUAGGCUUAAUGCCAGGAUAUUGUUGGAGAUUUACAUCGUUGUGGUUGUUAUUGAAAUGCAAAACUUUCCGCUACAUUAUUUUGAAGUUAUGACUGAUGUUGAAUUAAAUAGUUUUAUUUUCUAUUUAAGAAUUUGAAAUGUAGCAUGCCCGUUUGGU
rnacentral:lncRNA from 1 species